UUCAGUCCCACUCAUUAUCUGAGAGUGAAAUUUGAGAGGUCCAGUAUGAUAGCUAUUCUUCAAACAUUGGUAACAUGUCAACAUCACAGGUGUUACCUGUUAUGAUCUGCUCAGAAGAUGGAAUCCUUGCUGUUGUUGAACAAGGUGAGGAACCCAUUGAACUCUUGGCUGAACCAUGUGCUAUCAACAGCUUUGACAUUGACCGAGAGAACCCCUCGGUGAUGUGUUUUUUCUUCUCUCUUCCUCCUAUACUCAGUUUAUCUCAGAGACGUACGACAUUUUGAUCUUGGGGAUAAAUUACUUUGCUAUGUCAUAUAUCUGUGGAAUUGCUAAGAAUGACUGAUGAUUUCAAUUGUUGCCAUAACAGGAUGUGAUAUGUAGUUUAUAGUGGGAGGCUAUUGCCAUCUUGAUGAGGGCAUAAUUUCUGAAACUAAGAUGAAGAAUUUGGUGGCAUAAAUAGGAUCUGUUCAUUAUCCUUUCAGUGUAUCGUAAAAAGUGAAAAGUGAUGAUCUACUUGGGGCAAAGAGAAGCAGCACAUCAUGAUUUUGGAAAGAUGAACUGGGUAGCUUCAGUGUGUUCUGGUAACCAGCAUAUGCACCCAAAAAUGUAAGGUUUAUAGUUAUGCUCCAUCUUAUCUAGUAGUAUAGAAUACAGAUGGCUUUUUAACAGCACCAAACUGAAUCCAUGUUGGAAAAGUAAUUGUUCUAAUCUUGGGCCAUCUGCUUUUGUUUUGAAAGACAUUGCUAACGAAACACUAAAGCCAUGGACCCAAAAAAAGUUGCCAUGAAAACUGUUCAGAGCACUAGUGCAUGGCUGAGAUUGAUUUAUUGUAUUGUGGGGUUUAUGGUUUAGAUGAAUUUUAACCACACAAUGAUUGAUUCUGGAUAAUAUUUAUGGGUUUGUAGCAUUGUUGCGAACGAAAUGCAAGCUGCAGUUGCAGCUAACUAUGGCUUGGCCCAAGUUAAUUGCUUUUAACUACAUUAGUAAGGUUUAUUUAUUUAUUUGAUGUCAUUUUCUUUUAA